UAGAGUCAAGAGCUCGAGGGG
rnacentral:misc_RNA from 1 species